rnacentral:rRNA from 1 species
GACGAACGCUGGCGGCGUGCUUAACACAUGCAAGUCGAACGGAAAGGCCCUGCUUUUGUGGGGUGCUCGAGUGGCGAACGGGUGAGUAACACGUGAGUAACCUGCCCUUGACUUUGGGAUAACUUCAGGAAACUGGGGCUAAUACCGGAUAGGAGCUCCUGCUGCAUGGUGGGGGUUGGAAAGUUUCGGCGGUUGGGGAUGGACUCGCGGCUUAUCAGCUUGUUGGUGGGGUAGUGGCUUACCAAGGCUUUGACGGGUAGCCGGCCUGAGAGGGUGACCGGCCACAUUGGGACUGGGCUACGGCCCAGACUCCUACGGGAGGCAGCAGUGGGGAAUAUUGCACAAUGGGCGGAAGCCUGAUGCAGCAACGCCGCGUGCGGGAUGACGGCCUUCGGGUUGUAAACCGCUUUCGCCUGUGACGAAGCGUGAGUGACGGUAAUGGGUAAAGAAGCACCGGCUAACUACGUG